GCUGGUAGAUCCUUGGAUUUAAGGCACAGAGUAUUAACGUGUAACAGUAACCCUGUUUCACAUGACUUUCAUAUGAUCCAUCAGAAUAGUGAAGAUUGGCUCCUUGGUAUGUUUGACUGAGUUCUUUCCUUUUAGGUCAUCAGAACAAGUCGUAGAACCAAGGUGGGUCACCGAGAUAUUUGGUAGUUGUCUUGGGAUUUUGAAGCCUGUGCUUUCACUUCAAGGGCACUAAUGGUAGCAACACUGAAAAAAUCCACAUACUCUGGAUAGGAGUUUCUGGUUGUCCUCAUCCAACACAAGGAAGAUUCCACUUUCCUGCUGACUUCCAGGGUUAGUCUUGUCAUGGCCUCACAUUGCCACAUUUACUUGUCAAAAUCUGUUUGGGUUGCACUUAGGCCAUGGAUCCCUGUUCAUAGCUGCAGGCUAAUGGGGAGUCCAAGGCAGCAGGUAUCCUGAUACUAAGCCAACUAGGACUCUCAGCAGCAGACUCUGGGCUGUCUGUGAGGGUAGAGGUGAUCAUUCCCCUCCUCAGUACACUGUGGAUCAUCCCAGGAGACCACUGUCCUAUUACAUGUCCUUAGUGUCCUGUCAUUUGUUUGGAUCUGAUAGACCUUCAGAUUUUACAUAGGAAAGAAAAGAGGUGAUUGGCUUUUUGGACUUGUUUAUCACAUAUAAUACAGUCAUCUUAAGAUGCAUUGAUUUCUGGAAAAUUUCAAAUACUGACCCUGAAUAUGUGCUGUUUGCCCCACAUCCACUUCAUAUAUUAAUUUUAUCUUUGUUUGUAUUUGAAACUGUCAUCUGUGCUUUGCAAUUGGCACAAUAACUUGUUUCUCUAUAUGUGUAGGUAAAUUUACAAAUCUGACUUCAAAAUCACCAGACACACACUCUUCCCAGCUUCUAUGUCGACUGACUGAGUUGAGAUGGAGAGCAUGAGAACCUGGGAUACAGAGGCAGCAAGAGACAACUUGCAGAGGGAGGGUUUAGAGAGGAUGGGAGAGACAGAAUGGAGUCUUCAUGGGGAGAGGGAUGUGCAGAGGGUAAGAAGCAUGGACACUGAGUGCUGCGUAUUUCCGUUUCCCUUUCCAUCCUAUCCACAUGUCCUUGUUUUUAAAGUGAUGAACUCCAUACAUCAGGAGACACAGGCUGGAGAUUUCCAGCUGUGGACUGAAAGAGCAGAAGUAGGAGCUAUGCAGGAAUUACAGAUGGCAGUGUGCCCAGAACCCAGCAUGAAGUGUCUGUGUCCAGCAAAGGAAGAGAUUUGCAGUACAGGGGCCUCUGAGCCUAUACCAUGUCCACGCUGGCCAUAGAUGUACAGACUCUGUGAACCAGUCUUCAGAGAAACACCUCAGCAAUACUCACUAAUCUGUGCAUCCCUUCAGGUUCUGCUCUUGGGGAAAUAUUUUCACCCAUGAAGUCAAGUGACAGCAAGCUGGAGGAAAACGGGUAUCACUGUGGAUGGAAUGCUGCGAGUUUGCUUCUCUUUGGAGGUAGGAAGCAGAAGGCUGGCUAGGGAGGUUUCCUCAAUCCCAAAGGAAUGUGUUCAUUGAGCUCAUGUUACAGAAGAGCAGAAAGAGAAAGUCAGCAUCACCCUACAUGUGGCUUCAGAGGGAUGUUGAGAGAACUUGGUGCAGUAGACUGAUAUGGAAGGAAAUGAUGAGAUACCAGAGAGAAAGUGCAAGCCAUGGCCAUAGCUCACCUCCUCAGCGACUCUGGAGAAAAGAGCAUCUCCAGGUUCUGUUGGUCAUAUUGUGUGACAAAGCUCCUUUCACCUUAUGUGCAUCCUGUGUCAUCUAGGUGAGUGUAGAACAGGAUGGGGUACAGGAAGCACAGGACCCAGGUACACACAUGGUGGUGGAAAACUGCUUCUCCUCCUUGAUACUACAGCCUUGUUAUGGGACAGUAGCAGGGAAUCCAGGACAAGCUGGAAUGGGAACAUUCUAGGAGACAACAUCGAAUUCUACCUCAGAGCAUCACUUGGGAUGGAAAUGGAGUUUGACUAGUCCUCA